AUUGAACGCUGGCGGCAUGCUUUACACAUGCAAGUCGAACGGCAGCGCGGGCUUCGGCCUGGCGGCGAGUGGCGAACGGGUGAGUAAUACAUCGGAACGUGCCCAGUAGGGGGGGAUAGCUCGGCGAAAGCCGGAUUAAUACCGCAUACGACCUGAGGGUGAAAGCGGGGGAUCUUCGGACCUCUCGCUAGGUGAGCGGCCGAUGGCAGAUUAGCUAGUUGGUGGGGUAAAGGCCUACCAAGGCGACGAUCUGUAGCUGGUCUGAGAGGGCGACCAGCCACACUGGGACUGAGACACGGCCCAGACUACUACGGGAGGCAGCAGUGGGGAAUUUUGGACAAUGGGCGAAAGCCUGAUCCAGCAAUGCCGCGUGUGUGAUGAAGGCCUUCGGGUUGUAAAGCACUUUUGGCGGGAACGAAAAGGACUGUGCCAAUACCACGGUUCGAUGACGGUACCCGCAGAAUAAGCACCGGCUAACUACGUG
rnacentral:rRNA from 1 species